GAUUCCCCUAGUACUGCGAGUGAGCGGGAAAAGCUCAAAUUUAAAAUCUGGUGGCCUCUGGUCAUCCGAGUUGUAAUUUAGAGAAGCGUCUUCCGCGCUGGACCGUGCACAAGUCUCCUGGAAUGGAGCGUCAUAGAGGGUGAGAAUCCCGUCUUUGGCACGGAUCCCGGGGCUUUUGUGAUGCGCUCUCGAAGAGUCGAGUUGUUUGGGAAUGCAGCUCAAAAUGGGUGGUGAACUCCAUCUAAAGCUAAAUAUUGGCGAGAGACCGAUAGCGAACAAGUACCGUGAGGGAAAGAUGAAAAGCACUUUGGAAAGAGAGUGAAACAGUACGUGAAAUUGUUGAAAGGGAAACGCUUGAAGUCAGUCGCGUCGUCCGAGACUCAGCCUCGCCUCGGCUUGGUGUACUUCUCGACCGACGGGUCAGCAUCAAUUUUGCCCCUUGGAUAAUGGCGUGGGAAAUGUGGCACCUUUGCGGGUGCGUUAUAGUCCCUCGUCGCAUGCAAGGGUCGGGAUUGAGGAACUCAGCACGCGCCUUUCGGCGUCGGGGCCUUUGCCCACGAUACGUGCUUAGGAUGUUGGCGUAAUGGCUUUAAACGACCCGUCUUGAAACACGGACCAAGGAGUCUAACAUGCCCGCGAGUGUUCGGGUGGAAAACCCGUGCGCGCAAUGAAAGUGAAAGUUGGGACCUCUGUCGUGGAGGGCACCGACGCCCGGACCAGACCUUCUGUGACGGAUCUGCGGUGGAGCGUGUAUGUUAGGACCCGAAAGAUGGUGAACUAUGCCUGAAUAGGGUGAAGCCAGAGGAAACUCUGGUGGAGGCUCGUAGCGAUUCUGACGUGCAAAUCGAUCGUCAAAUUUGGGUAUAGGGGCGAAAGACUAAUCGAA
rnacentral:rRNA from 1 species